GCCUGGAUGGCUCAGUCGGUUGAGCGUCGGACUUCAGCUCAGAUCAUGAUCUCGCGGUUUGUGGGUUCCAGCCCCUCAUCGGGCU
rnacentral:tRNA from 1 species